rnacentral:lncRNA from 1 species
GGCAAUAUGUAUUCCCAACUACCACUAUGGAACAAUAAUUUUGUUUCACAUCAUUUUCAACAUAUUUACAACUUGCUAAACUAUGACACGUUCUAUGACCAUGAUCGUACCAACCAUAGUGGUCCUCAAUGUAAACUAUACUCAUGAUCGUACGUGGCUGAGGUGACCCUUACAAUCAUAUCGCAACAUCACUCUCAUCAAAGGGUACACCAUUUUCCACAAGGAGCAUCCUCUCAUGUCUUUUCAUACCAUAUGGGUGAGAAAUAGAACCCGUCAUAGAUAAAAAGUCUGACAGAUCAUGUUAAUUUUAAAUACCAUGUAUGCAAACAUCAAUAUUCAUUUCAUAUGUUCGUUAAAUAACAUUAUGUUUCUUGCAUCAUCUCUGAAUAUGCCAUCAUAUCAUUUUACUUAUUAGAAUGAUACAAAUAAUGCAAUAUCAUAGAAUAUUUACACAGAUACAUUUAAAUCAUAACAAUAAUUAAACAUAUAACAAGCUAUCUCAUGUUAAUGUAAUAUUUCCUUUAUUUAUCUAGAAAUACUCCUCAGAACAUGCAAACAAAUACCAAAUUUCCUUACUGAAAGCUUGAAG